UACGAAGGGGGCUAGCGUUGCUCGGAAUCACUGGGCGUAAAGGGCGCGUAGGCGGACUCUUAAGUCGGGGGUGAAAGCCCAGGGCUCAACCCCGGAAUUGCCUUCGAUACUGAGAGUCUUGAGUUCGGAAGAGGUUGGUGGAACUGCGAGUGUAGAGGUGAAAUUCGUAGAUAUUCGCAAGAACACCAGUGGCGAAGGCGGCCAACUGGUCCGAUACUGACGCUGAGGCGCGAAAGCGUGGGGAGCAAACAGG
rnacentral:rRNA from 1 species